UACGUAGGGGGCGAGCGUUGUCCGGAGUUACUGGGCGUAAAGCGCACGCAGGCGGUCUGCUAAGUUUGGAGUGACAGUUGGUGGCUUAACUGCCAAAGUGCUUCGAAAACUGACAGACUUGAGGGCUUCAGAGGGACACGGAAUUCCGGGUGGAGUGGUGAAAUGCGUAGAGAUCCGGAGGAACACCAGAGGCGAAGGCAGUGUCCUGGGGAGUACCUGACGCUCAGGUGCGAAAGCCAGGGGAGCGGACGGG
rnacentral:rRNA from 1 species